AAUCAACGCUGGCGGCGUGCCUAACACAUGCAAGUCGAACGAGAAGGUGACUUCGGUCACUGGAUAGUGGCGUCCGGGUGAGUAACACGUAGGUAAUCUACCUUCGGGUGGGGAAUAACGUCUCGAAAGAGACGCUAAUACCGCAUAAUGCAGCGGCACCUAAUGGUGAUUAGUUGUUAAAGCGGGGGAUCUUCGGACCUCGCGCCUGAAGAGGAGCCUGCGGCAGAUUAGCUAGUUGGUGAGGUAAUGGCUCACCAAGGCUUCGAUCUGUAGCUGGUCUGAGAGGACGGCCAGCCACACUGGCACUGACACACGGGCCAGACUCCUACGGGAGGCAGCAGUGGGGAAUUUUGGGCAAUGGGCGAAAGCCUGACCCAGCAACGCCGCGUGAAGGAGGAAAUCCUUCGGGAUAGUAAACUUCAUAAGUAAGGGAAGAAAGCUGCGGAUCGAAUAAGUCCGCAGUCUGACGGUACCUUACGUAAGCCACGGCUAACUACGUGCC
rnacentral:rRNA from 1 species